rnacentral:rRNA from 1 species
AGCGAACGCUGGCGGCAGGCCUAACACAUGCAAGUCGAACGAACUCUUCGGAGUUAGUGGCGGACGGGUGAGUAACACGUGGGAACGUGCCUUUUGGUUCGGAAUAACUCAGGGAAACUUGUGCUAAUACCGAAUGUGCCCUUCGGGGGAAAGAUUUAUCGCCAUUAGAGCGGCCCGCGUCUGAUUAGCUAGUUGGUGAGGUAACGGCUCACCAAGGCGACGAUCAGUAGCUGGUCUGAGAGGAUGACCAGCCACACUGGGACUGAGACACGGCCCAGACUCCUACGGGAAGCAGCAGUGGGGAAUCUUGCGCAAUGGGCGAAAGCCUGACGCAGCCAUGCCGCGUGAAUGAUGAAGGUCCUAGGAUUGUAAAAUUCUUUCACCGGGGACGAUAAUGACGGUACCCGGAGAAGAAGCCCCGGCUAACUUCGUG